UUUGAGUCAAACGCGAGUCUCGCGUCUCAGAAGUGAACUGCUUACUAACUGGGAGGCUGCUUCGCGGUUCCUUAUGCAGUUGGAAACCUUUUUUUUUUCUUUCUGUUUUUAAAUUUCAGUAUUUUGAAACAGGCUCUCAUUCGGUCUCUAAAGCUGGUCUGCACCUCCUAGUAAUCUUUCUGCCUCAGCUUCCCGAGUGCUGGACUUAAGAAGCUUCUCUAUGUGCUCAGCACUGGAGUUGGAUCCAGUCUUGACAGUGGAAGCUUUUGGAGUCCAGGUGAACCCCAUAUUAUAGCGGUCAAUCCCAGUGGCAGAAGGAAUGUAUGAGGUGCUUUUCUCACUGCUGUGAAUCAACUAACUGACAAGAAACAGAGUUAAGGAAGUAAGGGUUUAUUUUGGCUCUCAGUUUGAGGUGACACCCCAUCAUAAUGAAUUCAUGGGAGCAGGAACCUGGGGUAGCUGGUCACAUUGCACCCACAGAAUCCACAGGAAGUUCCGGUGCCGCACUCACUUCCUCCUUUUUCCCCUGGGACUCCAUCCCAUGGAAUGGUGCCACCCAUAGUUAAGUGGAAGAUCUCCGGGAAUACUCUCAAAGAUACAACCAGAGGUGUGUCUCCU
rnacentral:lncRNA from 1 species